GGAAGGGAAAGGUGCCCGGUGGUGCUGCCGGUCUUCAAAACCGGAGAUCCUGUCAAAACGGCGGGAUGGUGGGUUCGACUCCCGCUCCCUUCCGCCA
rnacentral:tRNA from 1 species